rnacentral:rRNA from 1 species
GUAGGUGGCAAGCGUUGUCCGGAAUUAUUGGGCGUAAAGCGCGCGCAGGUGGUUCUUUAAGUCUGAUGUGAAAGCCCCCGGGCUCAACCAGGGAGGGUCAUUGGAAACUGGGGAACUUGAGUGCAGGAGAGGAAAGUGGAAUUCCACGUGUAGCGGUGAAAUGCGUAGAUAUGUGGAGGAACGCCAGUGGCGAAGGCGACUUUCUGGCCUGUAACUGACACUGAGGCGCGAAAGCGUGGGGAGCAAACAGGAUUAGAUACCCUGGUAGUCCACGCCGUAAACGAUGAGUGCUAAGCGUUGGGGGGGUUUCCGCCCCUCAGUGCUGCAGCUAACGCAUUAAGCACUCCGCCUGGGGAGUACGGUCGCAAGACUG